GACGGAGGAUGCAAGUGUUAUCCGGAAUCACUGGGCGUAAAGCGUCUGUAGGUGGUUUGAUAAGUCAACUGUUAAAUCUUGAAGCUCAACUUCAAAAUCGCAGUCGAAACUAUUAGACUAGAGUAUAGUAGGGGUAAAGGGAAUUUCCAGUGGAGCGGUGAAAUGCGUAGAUAUUGGAAAGAACACCGAUGGCGAAGGCGCUUUACUGGGCUAUUACUGACACUCAGAUACGAAGGCUUGGGUAGCAAAUGGG
rnacentral:rRNA from 1 species